GUGAAUCAUCGAAUUUUUGAACGCAAAUUGCGCCUUUUGCGGAAGGCAUGUCUGUUUGAGGGCACCAUUUAACAAAUAAUGUGCAUUUCGUGUGCACACGGCGAUGAGCUUUCCAAGAAUUUUAAAGUUUUGGUGGCGCAUAAUGAACAGCGUGAAAGUUUUUUUCAUUUCGAGUGUAGUGAAAUCUUUGCUGGGUUUGUGAAAAAACAUAAUCGCGCAAUGGGUGUGGAAAUUUCUUGUUAUCUCUGCCCCAAUGCCAC
rnacentral:misc_RNA from 1 species